rnacentral:miRNA from 1 species
UAAAUGGGACAGGGUGUACUCCUGGAUUCUACCUUGUCUACCUUCCAGACAAGGUAGAAUCCAGGAGUACACCCUGUCAGUGGUCCUG